GCAUAGUUUCAUACAUAUUAACAAAAAUAUUUUAUGAUAAAAAUCUGCCAGUAUAGACCCUUUUCAUAGAUGGCUGCCGCGAUUAAAAAUUCUUUUAUGUGCAUAUAAAUUGGCCCAACUAGCCUCGUUUCUGGGUAGAAAUUCCAUCGAAAUCUUAACAUGAGUACGAGGCUAGUUGGGCCAAUUAUAAUAUGCACAUAAAAUAAUUUUUAAUCGGCAGCCAUUUAUGAAACAGUAUUUUUAUAUCGGAUUCGUAUUCAAACAGUAUUUUUAUAUCGGAUUCGUUUUGCCGUCUACACUAAUGAACAUGAAUCCAGUACGUAUACAAAAUGAUCACAGGUAGAGUCUAAAUCCGGAUCUUUCGAAUCCGGAAAAGUUCGCGGGAACCGAAUAUCCGAAAAAAUAUGAAUCCAGAAAAAACUCUCGUGUAAAUGCUUUAUGUAAAGAAUCCGAAUCAAUUUGUUCCGGUGUAUGUUUUUUUGGCUAUCUGUAAAACGACGAAUGGGGAAUCGGGGAAUUGAAUAGGGAAUGAGAAAAGCCGGAAUCUGUAAAACCCGGAAUGAGAAAAGCCAGAAUCUGUAAAACCCCGAAUGAGAAAAGCCGGAAUCUGUAAAACCCCGGAAGGAAAAAAGCCGGAUUCUUCAAAACCCGGAGUAAGAAAAGCCGGAAUUUAUUAAUUUCAACUGCCAAACAGAGUCAAAACGUUAACAUCGCAUAAUAUCACUAAUAUAAGAGGGUUAAAAUUAUUCUUUAUAUUGACCAUAUCGCUGUGUCGGGCUGUGUAGGGUAAACGCCUCAC